rnacentral:rRNA from 1 species
GGCGGUUAGAUAANUCUGAAGUUAAAGGCUGUGGCUUAACCAUAGUACGCUUUGGAAACUGUUUAACUUGAGUGCAGAAGGGGAGAGUGGAAUUCCAUGUGUAGCGGUGAAAUGCGUAGAUAUAUGGAGGAACACCGGUGGCGAAAGCGGCUCUCUGGUCUGUAACUGACGCUGAGGCUCGAAAGCGUGGGGAGCGAACAGGAUUAGAUACCCUGGUAGUNCACGCCGUAAACGAUGAGUGCUAGGUGUUAGGCCCUUUCCGGGGCUUAGUGCCGCAGCUAACGCAUUAAGCACUCCGCCUGGGGAGUACGACCGCAAGGUUGAAACUCAAAGGAAUUGACGGGGGCCCGCACAAGCGGUGGAGCAUGAGGUUUAAUUCGAAGCAACGCGAAGAACCUUACCAGGUCUUGACAUCCCGAUGCCCGCUCUAGAGAUAGAGUUUUACUUCGGUACAUCGGUGACAGGUGGUGCAUGGUUGUCGUCAGCUCGUGUCGUGAGAUGUUGGGUUAAGUCCCGCAACGAGCGCAACCCUUAUUGUUAGUUGCCAUCAUUCAGUUGGGCACUCUAGCGAGACUGCCGGUAAUAAACCGGAGGAAGGUGGGGAUGACGUCAAAUCAUCAUGCCCCUUAUGACCUGGGCUACACACGUGCUACAAUGGCUGGUACAACGAGUCGCAAGUCGGUGACGGCAAGCUAAUCUCUUAAAGCCAGUCUCAGUUCGGAUUGUAGGCUGCAACUCGCCUACAUGAAGUCGGAAUCGCUAGUAAUCGCGGAUCAGCACGCCGCGGUGAAUACGUUCCCGGGCCUUGUACACACCGCCCGUCACACCACGAGAGUUUGUAACACCCGAAGUCGGUGAGGUANCCUUUUAGGAGCCA